AGGUGUGGCUCUACAAUGUAGGUGUGGCUCUGAAUGGAGGUGUGGCUCUACAGUGGGGGCGUGGCUCUGAAUGGAGGUGUGGCUCUACAGUGGGGGCGUGGCUCUGAAUGGAGGCGUGGUCCUGGAACAAGGCCCAGCCCAGGAAACUUGAGCCAGGAAGGACAGGAGGCUCCAGACCCCAUCUCUUCCAUUUAUUUGCCUCCAAAAAUGACAAGAUGGAAAACAUUCUGGACAAGUUAGCGUUCUUCCUUCUUCUUGAAGACCACAAGAAGCCAAUUCUACGACUUUUCAUAGUCGUACAUUUCCAAGAUUUCAAGUCUAAAGAUUCAAAAGUCUUAUUGACACAACCUAAUCAAUAAACAAAUAUUUACUAACUUC